UGCGUAGGUGGCAAGGCAAGUCUGAAGUGAAAAUCCGGGGCUCAACCCCGGAACUGCUUUGGAAACUGUUUAGCUAGAGUACAGGAGAGGUAAGUGGAAUUCCUAGUGUAGCGGUGAAAUGCGUAGAUAUUAGGAGGAACACCAGUGGCGAAGGCGACUUACUGGACUGCUACUGACACUGAGGCACGAAAGCGUGGGGAGCAAACA
rnacentral:rRNA from 1 species